ensembl:lncRNA LINC00349 long intergenic non-protein coding RNA 349
CCCCCGAGUAGCUGGGACUACAGGAUUAUCUCAUUUCUUACAAAAGUUACCCAUGGUGCUGAGAAAACUAGAAACUGGACUUUAGAUGAUGCUUGGUCCAUUUCUUAUACAAGGAAAUGCAGUUACUCCGAGGACAAUUCAGCUUACCUAGAUGAGGAGAAAUUCGAAGUAUUCCAACGUCUGCGCUCAUGAAUAGAUCAAGCCUUGGGGGAAACCAGUGAUCUCUUGGCAACAGGACCAGAAGGUGGCAAGAAGAAAAGUUUAAGAAUUUCAAGUGGCUUGAUUGGACUCUUCUUCAUGGUCGCUGAGUCAAGGACCUUCUCUUCUAGUGAAUUUAAGGGUUUUGUGGAACACUAGUCUUUCUUUAUGAACUCUGUCCUCUUUUCUCAUACAAUUUAUCUUUUCCACAUAUGGAUGGAAUAAAACUGCAGAAAAUAUAAUGAAAUGGAUAACCAUAUAUUUUUUAAAAUAGAAAUUUUUGAGUAUUGACAUUCAAGGUUUUAAUUCUAGAUUUAAAAAUACAUUUUAUUUACACACUCAUCAGUUAAUGGAUGCUUAAAUUAUUUUCACUUUUGGUCUAUUAUGAAUAAUGCUACUAUGAACAUUAAUGUAUAAGUAUUUGUGUGAACAAAUAGAACAGACAUGGUCAGUUCUCUUGGGUAUAUUCCUACAAGUAGAAUUUCUGGGUCAUAUGGCAGCUCUAUGUUUCAUUUUAUGCAGAAUUUCUAAACUGUUUUUCAAAGAAACUGUUUUACAUUCUGAGAAGCAAUGUAUGAGAGUUCUAAUUCUUUUACAUCCUCAGCAACACUUGUUAUUAUCUGUCUUUUUUAUUAUAGUUAUUCUGGUAUUUGUGAAGUUUCAUCUCAUUAUGAUUGUGAUUUGCAUUUCCCUAAUGGCUAAUAACAGUCAGCAUAUUUUCAUGUGCCUAUUGGCCAUUUGUAUAUCUUCCUUGGCGUAAAGUCUUUCAAAUUACUUGCUCAUUUUUUAAUUGAGUUAUUUGUCUUUUGAUUUUUAGUUGCAACAGUUCUUUAUAUAUUAUGCAUAAGUCCUUAUCAGACAUACAAUAUGAAAAUAUUUUGGUUCCUGCUAUACAUUGGUUUUCCCCUUUAUAAGUGGUGUAUUUUGUAGAUCAAAAGCCUUUAAUUUUAAUGAAGUCCAAUUUAACAAUA